ensembl:lncRNA
GUUGGUUUGCUUAGCCACAGGGAUUAGCAGAUCAGUUUCAGAACCAGUCUAUGAGUUUAGCAAAAGGAAUCCAUGAGGGAUAGUUCUAGAACUUCCCAUUUCAACUUUAGUGGGUGACCAGCCUUGUUUUCCUCACUGAUUUUACACUGUGGACAGAAUAGAACACUUCCAUCUUCUGCCUCAAUGAUUUUGCCUCAUGAGCAGCACUGGAGUCCCAAGAGAACACGUUUAUCUGUGGCCUCAAUACAAGCAAGGACAUUUUCCUCGGGUUCCACAGACACUGUUGUUAGAAAGGGGCUCGCUGUGCCCUAAUGAGCAAUGAGAAUUGUAGGAAUGGAAUGUUGUUUCUGCGUUAGAUAUUGAAAAAGGGGAACUGAUCUAAAGAUGUAGACCUAAGCAAAAGAUGCUCCUAACAGGGAGCAUCCUGAUGCCGACCUGUUGCAUCCCAGCCUACCCACACAGUGAGACAAUCCGGCCUUGUGUGCAGGCCCUGGUUUCUCUGAUGUUGGAUAACCCUGCUGUUCUGCUGAGGGUCUCUUAUCCAAACAGAACAGCCUUACAACACGCUUUCCAGCCCAUAAUGCUAUACCCACACUAUUCGCAACAUUUAAAAACUAUUGCAGUUUUGCAAAUCACAUCCAGCCCGGCCUUGAACACCUCCAGGGACGGGGCAUCCACAGCCUCUCUGGGCAGCCUGCGCCAGCACCUCACCGCUCUCUCGGCUCCCUUCAGGUCCUGGAAGGCUGCAACGAGGUCACCCCGCAGCCUUCUUUUCUCCAGGCUGAGUUAAAAAGUCCAUGCUGUGGUUCCGUGGGCUGUCAAUAAUUCUGCGUCAUGGUUCUAUGUUCAGAGGGAGGCGUAAAACUGUGCGCACAUCACAAGACAUUUCCCCUUUUUACUUUCUGCCCAUCUGCAGUGCGUGCUCCCUCGCACUCUCACCUUCAGCUUUAGAGUAAGGCCUUUCUUUUUGGACAGUCUCUCAUUUAUUAGAUUCAAUUCCAGUUAUAUUGUAUCAGAGUGUGUUAUCUUGCAUUCUGAUAUUAUAUUUAGCAAAUUAACUUUCCUCCUCAGACCGCUGUCGCUGUUUGGUUUUUAGUCCCAACUCCCUUGGCCAUCCUAGCGAGGACCUCACGUGGAUCGACUGCAACGAAGGAUCCUGGCAGAGAGGUAAACAGAUCCGACCCCAACCCGCGCCUCCACCCACCCCGGUCCGCCUGCUGCCCUCUCCCCCCACCCCCUCGCAAAACGCGCCACGCGUGCAGCAGCCGGGCUUUUAUCUCCGCGAGUUCAAUCGGUCGCGGUGGGGCCGGGGCCGGGAGUUCGGCGGCCAAACCCCGUCUGUGAGCGGCAGCCGCUGGGGAGUGCCGCAAACCGUGCCCUCAAACGGCGUGCUGGGCGGAUAGCGCGGGGCACGGAGGGGGAGCAGGGAGGGUCCUCUCCCUCUCCUCUCCCCGUGCGGGCACCCCGGGGGGCAACCCGAGGGCUGAGGCGGCGGUCCGGGCUGCUGAGUGCGGGGAGCUCCGGGAUCUGGAGGUCCCCCCCGGCCCCGAGGGACGAAGGGGCCGUCACGGCCGCGGCUGCGCCCUGCUCGAGGAGCUGCUGGAGCGGACGGGCUGCAGCGAGAGACCGGAGCCCGAGGGGUUCCCGGGCAUCUCGGAGGGAGACGGACAGGAGGAGGACGAGAGAACCCGCAGCGACCGCAGAGCGGCAGCCCCCUCCUCCGGCCCCUGCCAGGAUCCCUGGUUGCAGUUGAUCCGCGCGAGCUCCUCGCUCACAGGAGCGCUCCGCCG